rnacentral:rRNA from 1 species
GAUGAACGCUGGCGGCGUGCUUAACACAUUCAAGUCGAACGGUGAGGGAGCUUCGGCUCCUGAUCAGUGGCGGACGGGUGAGUAACGCGUGAGCAAUCUGCCUAUGUGAGGGGGAUAACGUUUGGAAACGAACGCUAAUACCGCAUGAAGCAUUUGAAUUGCAUGGUUUGAAUGCCAAAGAGAUUAUCGCACAUAGAUGAGCUCGCGUCCCAUUAGAUAGUUGGUGAGGUAACGGCCCACCAAGUCGACGAUGGGUAGCCGGACUGAGAGGUUGAACGGCCACAUUGGAACUGAGAAACGGUCCAG